rnacentral:sRNA from 1 species
UUAGUCAAUUCAAUCAAGACAUGAGUC